CAGUCGCCGCGGUAAUACAGAGGGUGCGAGCGUUAAUCGGAUUUACUGGGCGUACAGCGUGCGUAGGCGGCUUUUUAAGUCGGAUGUGAAAUCCCUGAGCUUAACUUAGGAAUUGCAUUCGAUACUGGGAAGCUAGAGUAUGGGAGAGGAUGGUAGAAUUCCAGGUGUAGCGGUGAAAUGCGUAGAGAUCUGGAGGAAUACCGAUGGCGAAGGCAGCCAUCUGGCCUAAUACUGACGCUGAGGUACGAAAGCAUGGGGAGCAAACAGGAUUAGAUACCCCUGUAGUCCCUGUCUCUUAUAC
rnacentral:rRNA from 1 species